GUGCCAGCCGCCGCGGUAACACGUAGGGACCGAGCGUUGUCCGGAUUUAUUGGGCGUAAAGAGCUCGUAGGCGGUUCAGCAAGUCGGGUGUGAAAACUCUGGGCUCAACCCAGAGACGCCACCCGAUACUGCUGUGACUAGAGUCCGGUAGGGGAGUGGGGAAUUCCUGGUGUAGCGGUGAAAUGCGCAGAUAUCAGGAGGAACACCGGUGGCGAAGGCGCCACUCUGGGCCGGCACUGACGCUGAGGAGCGAAAGCGUGGGUAGCAAACAGGAUUAGAUACCCCUGUAGUCC
rnacentral:rRNA from 1 species